UGAGGAAUAUUGGGCAAUGGGCGAAAGCCUGACCCAGCCACGCCGCGUGAGUGAUGAAGGCCCUCGGGUUGUAAAGCUCUGUGGGGAGGGAAGAAAAACUUGGAUUCGAAUAGGGUCCGAGGUUGACGGUACCUCCUUAGCAAGCACCGGCUAACUCUGUGCCAGCAGCCGCGGUAAUACAGAGGGUGCAAACGUUGCUCGGAAUUACUGGGCGUAAAGGGCGCGUAGGCGGACUCGGAAGUCGGGUGUGAAAUCCCUGGGCUCAACCUAGGAACUGCAUUCGAAACUCCAAGUCUAGAGUGACGGAGAGGAAAGCGGAAUUCCCGGUGUAGAGGUGAAAUUCGUAGAUAUCGGGAGGAACACCAGAGGCGAAGGCGGCUUUCUGGACGUCCACUGACGCUGAGGCGCGAAAGCGUGGGGAGCAAACAGG
rnacentral:rRNA from 1 species